CAAGAAGGAAGGCUUAACCCCCACC
rnacentral:piRNA from 1 species